GAGUUUGAUCCUGGCUCAGGAUGAACGCUGGCGGCGUGCUUAACACAUGCAAGUCGAACGGAGUACCCCUGAAGGAGUUUUCGGACAACUGAUGGGACUACUUAGUGGCGGACGGGUGAGUAACGCGUGAGUAACCUGCCUUGGAGUGGGGAAUAACAGCUGGAAACAGCUGCUAAUACCGCAUAAUAUGUCUGUGUCGCAUGGCACUGGACAUCAAAGAUUUAUCGCUCUGAGAUGGACUCACGUCUGAUUAGCUAGUUGGCGGGGUAACGGCCCACCAAGGCGACGAUCAGUAGCCGGACUGAGAGGUUGGCCGGCCACAUUGGGACUGAGACACGGCCCAGACUCCUACGGGAGGCAGCAGUGGGGAAUAUUGGGCAAUGGGCGCAAGCCUGACCCAGCAACGCCGCGUGAAGGAAGAAGGCUUUCGGGUUGUAAACUUCUUUUCUCAGGGACGAAGCAAGUGACGGUACCUGAGGAAUAAGCCACGGCUAACUACGUGCCA
rnacentral:rRNA from 1 species